CGGGGAAUCGAGAGAAGCUGGUCCCAAAUAAUACGUCUGGAUCCGAUGCCUACAUCCUUCAUUGGUCUCUUCAAUUUUGUGUUACUCAAAAGCGCAAGCGACCCUUUGCGUGGAAGCUAAGGAAUGAGACACGAGAUAAUAUAUAUAAAUAUAUAUUGAAUAACGAAACUUCAUGUAGGAAGACAGUAACAAAACUGUUUGAAAAAACUUACAUAUAUUUUUUGGGUUGGACAACAGAAUAUGAAGCAAUAAUAAGAAACUUCAACUUGAGUUCCAGCAAUACAAUGGAACUCAAGUCUCUGCUCUUUUUUAACUGAAACGUCUAGGUUUUACUGAAACGUCUAGGUUUUAUCCACUAGAUGAUGACGUUCAGAUAUGAAUAAAAAUAUGAAGAAGUAUUCAUAUGGAGGUUCCUGAAUAUUCAUCUAAAAGUCAGCGUAUGUAGAUAACCCAAUUUUAACCAUGAUCAACUUUUCAUGCAACUCGGGUUACAAGUUAAUUGGCCUGAUUCACCCUGUUUUCAAUUGAAUAAUCAUAUAAUAUUUUGGUGUCGGUAAAUAAAAGGUUCACAGAAUAAUAACCUAAAGAUACGGUGAUGGCCACACUACACAAUUCCAAGAAGAAUUUUUGCAGUCCCGAAGUUUAUAGUCUUACGAUGAAUUAUUGUCCAUAGCAUGUAUGCUAUAAGUCGAGCAAUUCACACCAUUAAUUGUAUCAUGCCAUACGUACAUGUGCAUACGGUUUUCUAGAUAAUGCAUGAAUUUAGAUACAGUUAUAUAGAUGGAGUAUGUAUAUAUAUGAUUAUUAUACAUAGACAUGAGUUUGCAUGGACCCCUACCUGUUAUUAUUCGGGUGCAAUAAUAUAAGAAGCCAAAACACUAACAUCUGAAGUUAUGGACGCAUAAGCUCGACAAUACUAACACUUUCAUGCUCAUUUUUGUUC
rnacentral:lncRNA from 1 species